rnacentral:lncRNA from 1 species
GGUCAAGUUCCUGAACAGGGGCACGCCAGCAGUCCCGUCUCAGGCACAGUGGACGGGGAGGCCACCGCCGAUCUGAUUCACUCCCUAGAGCUUUCCCUGGGCUGCCCGGGCUCACCUGUCCUGGCCUGGCCUCAGGAACACCUGUGCUUAGUGCACCUGGCUAAGCUCCCAGGGGUGGUGCUCAGGAGAAACGCACCCGGAGGACCACGCCACGUCCUCUCCAGCACAGUCCAGCGCAGGCCCCGUCUGCUGCGGGGCAGCCACCCCACCCUCGGAGGGAACAUCCUGGCUCCUUGUGGCUGAGUGGCCGGGGCAGGCAGAGUGAGGACGCUGACCCACAAAUCCACGUGCAGAGCCCAGUGACCGCGGGAGUGGGUAGGAGGGGUCUCGCAGCCCACUCAGACCAAGGCCACGGGCUGGUUUCAGCUGGGGUGGGGCAACCAGCAUUGCCUGUGACUGAAGCUCAGGGCUGAGGGGGCGCUGAGGCCUGCCACACGGGUGGGGAGGUGGCCAGGCCGGCAGGGGUCAGGCAGGCACGCGGUGGGUGCUGUGUGGAGACAGCUCUGCGUGUCUCAUCUGCACAGGGAGCCUUCCGGUUCCCGUCCUGUGAUCCUGGGCCUCGGGUCCGACUGAGAAUGCCAGGGGUUCCUGUAAGGGGGAAGCCUGGCCCCGAGGAACAGCGUGGCAUCUGCAUUUGCUUCUCCACCCCUCCCAGCCGCCUGAGACGGGAGCACUUCCCAAAACCCCGGCAUCCCCUGUGGGAGAAGGGUCCGUCAACUUAGAAAAUCACAGUAAAACAAAGAUGCUUGAAAACCAUGUAAAAAUAAGGCCUGAACUAUGAGACUGCUUAUGUGAAAACAGGAAGGUUCCCGGGCUUGGACUCACUGCCUCACUGGGGUCCUGAGUAAGCCCUGCUGCCCAGGGAGAGAAAGACCAGAAGUGGGAUAUGCAAGGUCUGACUCCCGCAGCUCACAGCCUGGCCAGCAGGGGGCGUGCUGACAGGUGCCCUCGGUGCAGCCAGCAACGUGCAGGCCUGGGCCCUGGGCCUCGGGUGAAGAUGACGCGGCUCUGUGGCUGGGGGGCUGCUGGGGACGGGCUAGGGAUGUGGGAGGUUGGAGAAAUGAGAUGUUCAUCGUCCGGCACCCGGAGAGCCAGCUCCAGGGCCAUGGUGACGUGUGACAAGCGAGCUGCGUGGGGACGGGGCGUGCCGCUGUGCUCCGAGCCCAGGUGAUUAGCUCGCCCCGGGAGUGCCUUAGGACCCCCACCCCGGUCCUGGGUCCCAAGAAAACAGCAUCUUAGGAAGGAACGGCUGUGUCAGACCUCGGCCACUCAGGAUGACAGCAGAAACCCUCCCCUUCUGGGCCUUGGUUGAUUCCUGCAAAACGGGGGUCCUCAGCUUCAUGGCACCGAGGGUCCUUCCCCGGCUCCCACCCCUCCAGCACCACCUGGGCCCAGACAUGUGCCUCCUGCGGCAGCAGAAGCUCUGAGCGGCAAUUUCUAAAGAAUUCCCCGCCAUCAGGCAGCCACGCCCCCUCAGCGUGGGGCCCUGCUUCCUGGAGUAGUGGAAGACGGCGACAGAGUGACCAUGAUGAGUUCUGAGAGAACCCAGUGGUUUAUCAGCAGACUGGCCUGGGACACACAGUGGAGUGGGGCCAGGGAGCAGCUGGACAGCUCCCCUGGGGCACCAGUGUACCACGGGGGCAUCAGAGGAGCGCCCUUGCCCAGCGCUGUACUGCUAGGCUGCAAAACACGCCUCCACGGCACUACGGCUCGCUGUUCUCCCGCACCCCGCCCCUCUAGCGAGAAGGCAGCAGUCGGGAGCGGGACGGGCCACAUCCUCCCUCCCUUUCUCUGAGGCCUGGUUUCCAGUAGAUGGGGCGGACCUCAGGGGGUCCACCUGGCACUGUCAGUCGAAGAGCACACGAGACAGCAGGGACAGCCUGACGAGGGACAGGUCUGAUUGUCAGAGCUUCUAACCCAGCGGUUCUCACCCUCUCAGCCCCCACGGCCCCUUCCUGUGACAGACACUCUGCAGUGGCCCUGCGUUUUCCUGCAAUGAGAUGCACGGGUUGUGUAACUCACAUACAUGGGUGGGCGAGAAGGGAUCACUGCAAGGCCUGGAAGGGGAAGAAAGGGGGCAGCCAUCUAUCAUGAAGUGCAGGCCCUGGACGCUGGGAGGGGAAGCAGAGAGCAGCCGGCACCUGCCACAGACCUGGGACACACUGCCACGCCACGGGUCAGCUGGACAGGCGACAAAGACAUCUCCUGAGAAGGGACUUUUCCAAGCAGAAGACAGGUGGGACAGGGACAAAUCCAAGUAGCUGCAAUCCUAGAAAACUCUGCACAUACUAAAACUGGAAAAAACCAAAACAGUGCUUUUUAUAGAACGGAGCCACAUUCUGGCUCAGAUAACAAAAACAGUUUUUCACCCACAGAAGUCUGGAGGGACACAUGAAACACACCCACCGUGCGGGCUGUCCUGUGUACCCCAAAUGUCCAGCACCAUUCUGUCCCACGCCGCCCUGCAGGGCCUCCCUGUCCAGCCCCCCACCACUUCAGGUCUACAAGAAACAUCAUGAGAAGACAGUACUCACACACAAGGCAGUGGCGGAGUCGGGGCAAGAACCUGGACUCCUUCCAGGCCGUGCUGUUCUCUGGUCCUCAAUCUUGGGGGAAGUGGAGUGGCAACCAGACCCUAGCGCUAUAAGGUAGGGAACGCAGAUGGGGGCAGAGUAAGCAUGGGGAAGGGGGCUCACCCUGGCCUGGGGCAGGGCAGGGGGCACAGAGGUCUUCCCACAGAGCGUGGGACUCCCCACUGAGAGGAAGUGGUGAACAGAGGUAGAAACCAGGUGUCAGGGGAGGCCAAGGAGGAGCAGAGAUGACCAGAACAGUGGGGGGCAGGGCAAAUGGGCAGCUGGUGUCCAAACCCAGGGCACCGGGCCUUUCCCGCCCUCAUCCCACUGCCCGUACAUCCCUGGGAAACCACAAAGCUCAUCCGAAGGCUCCCUUGUACUCAUCCUGUCACUUCUGGAAUCCUUCCUCUUUUUAGAAAAGAUCUCUGGGAUAAUCUGAAACGACAACUUCUCAAACCUUGCAGACUCUUGCCUCUCUGGCUCCUGGCCAGUUCCUUUUUUUUCACAGCCAAAACCAAUUUAUUCAAGGGAAAAUAAAUCCGCAGAGGCAGCCA